rnacentral:rRNA from 1 species
CGAGUGCCCCGAGCGUUAUCCGGAAUCAUUGGGCGUAAAGGGUGUGUAGGCGGUUGUGUUAGUCUUUUGUUAAGUUCUUCGGCUUAACCGGGGACCUGCGAAGGAAACGGCACAACUAGAGGAUGCGAGAGGUGAAUGGAACUCAUGGAGUAGGGGUGAAAUCCGUUGAUAUCAUGGGGAACACCAAAAGCGAAGGCAAUUCACUGGCGCACUCCUGACGCUGAGACACGAAAGCGUAGGUAGCGAAUGGGAUUAGAUACCCCAGUAGUCUACGCCCUAAACGAUGAUCGCUAGUUUUUCGGAGUAUCGACCCUCUGAGAGACGAAGCUAACGCAUUAAGCGAUCCGCCUGGGUAGUACGGCCGCAAGGCUA